UACGUAGGGGGCAAGCGUUGUCCGGAAUCAUUGGGCGUAAAGAGCGUGUAGGCGGCCCGAUAAGUCCGCUGUGAAAGCCCCGGGCUCAACCUGGGAAUGCCAUUCGAGACUGCAUAGCUAGGGUGCGGAAGAGGGAAGCGGAAUUUCCGGUGUAGCGGUGAAAUGCGUAGAUAUCGGAAGGAACACCAGUGGCGAAAGCGGCUUCCUGGUCCAGCACCGACGUUCAGGCACGAAAGCGUGGGGAGCAAACAGGG
rnacentral:rRNA from 1 species